GCAAGUCGAGCGACGGACGAGAGUGCUUGCACUCUCUGAUGUUAGCGGCGGCCGGGUGAGUAACACGUGGGUAACCUACCUAUAAGACUGGGAUAACUUCGGGAAACCGGAGCUAAUACCGGAUAAUAUUUAGCUUCGCAUGAAGCAAUAGUGAAAGACGGUUCUGCUGUCACUUAUAGAUGGACCCGCGGUGUAUUAGCUAGUUGGUGAGGUAACGGCUCACCAAGGCGACGAUACAUAGCCGACCUGAGAGGGUGAUCGGCCACACUGGGACUGAGACACGGCCCAGACUCCUACGGGAGGCAGCAGUAGGGAAUCUUCCGCAAUGGACGAAAGUCUGACGGAGCAACGCCGCGUGAGUGAAGAAGGUUUUCGGAUCGUAAAACUCUGUUGUAAGGGAAGAACAAGUACGUUAGUAACUGAACGUACCUUGACGGUACCUUACCAGAAAGCCACGGCUAACUACGUGCCAGCAGCCGCGGUAAUACGUAGGUGGCAAGCGUUAUCCGGAAUUAUUGGGCGUAAAGCGCGCGUAGGCGGUCUCUUAAGUCUGAUGUGAAAGCCCCCGGCUCAACCGGGGAGGGUCAUUGGAAACUGGGAGACUUGAGUGCAGAAGAGGAGAGUGGAAUUCCAUGUGUAGCGGUGAAAUGCGCAGAGAUAUGGAGGAACACCAGUGGCGAAGGCGGCUCUCUGGUCUGUAACUGACGCUGAGGUGCGAAAGCGUGGGGAUCAAACAGGAUUAGAUACCCUGGUAGUCCACGCCGUAAACGAUGAGUGCUAAGUGUUGGGGGGGUUUCCGCCCCUCAGUGCUGCAGCUAACGCAUUAAGCACUCCGCCUGGGGAGUACGGUCGCAAGACUGAAACUCAAAGGAAUUUGACGGGGACCCGCACAAGCGGUGGGAGCAUGUGGUUUAAAUUCAAGCAAACGCCAAGAACCUUACCAAUCUUGACAUCCUUUGACAACUCUAGAGAUAGAGCUUCCCUUCGGGGACAAGUGACAGUGGUGCAUGGUUGUCGUCAGCUCGUGCCUGAGAUGUAGGUAAGUCCGCA
rnacentral:rRNA from 1 species